UGGUUUGGGUUUAUAUUAUGACACACUAAAAACCAUUGAGAAGGAUUAUCCACGAGAUGCUAAUGGGUGUGUUAGAGAGUGUCUGGUGAAAUGGUUCGAGAAAGCUGAUGAUGUACAUGAUAAAGGAGGAGCAAAAUGGAGCACAUUAAUUAAAGCACUUGAAGAUUAUAAUCAAAAUGCAACAGCUGAUUACAUCAGAAGCAAAACAUUGAAAUGAAAAGCUGAUGAACUAUGCACAACUUCCAAAAGUAGCAAACUAAUGUCAUUAAUUAUAAUGGUUAGGAUUCUUCUUUUUGCUAAAUAAAAUAAUUAUAAUGUAGUAGUAAUAACUAGUUGCAUUGAUUAUAGUGUACUGUAUACAAUUUACAAAGCAGUAGAUAUUA